rnacentral:rRNA from 1 species
UGCAGUCGAGCGCCCUGCUUGCAGGGAGCGGCAGACGGGUGAGUAACGCGUGGGAAUUUGCCUUAUGGUACGGAACAACAUCGGGAAACCGUUGCUAAUACCGUAUGUGCCCUUCGGGGGAAAGAUUUAUCGCCAUAAGAUGAGCCCGCGUUGGAUUAGCUAGUUGGUGGGGUAACGGCCCACCAAGGCGACGAUCCAUAGCUGGUCUGAGAGGAUGAUCAGCCACACUGGGACUGAGACACGGCCCAGACUCCUACGGGAGGCAGCAGUGAGGAAUCUUCGGCAAUGGGCGAAAGCCUGACCGAGCCAUGCCGCGUGAGUGAUGACGGCCCUAGGGUUGUAAAGCUCUUUCGACGGGGACGAUAAUGACGGUACCCGUAUAAGAAACCCCGGCUAACUUCGUGCCAGCAGCCGCGGUAAUACGAAGGGGGUUAGCGUUGUUCGGAAUUACUGGGCGUAAAGCGCGCGUAGGCGGAUUGUUUAGUCGGGGGUGAAAUCCCGGGGCUCAACCCCGGAACUGCCUCCGAUACUGGCAAUCUAGAGUUCGUGAGAGGAUGGUGGAAUACCCAGUGUAGAGGUGAAAUUCGUAGAUAUUGGGUGGAACACCGGUGGCGAAGGCGACCAUCUGGCACGAUACUGACGCUGAGGUGCGAAAGUGUGGGGAGCAAACAGGAUUAGAUACCCUGGUAGUCCACACCGUAAACGAUGAAUGCUAGCCGUU